rnacentral:lncRNA from 1 species
UAAGGGAGCUACCAUUUGAUUUUUAUGGGGGGGGGGGGCUAGGAUGAAAUUUGAAAAAAAUAGACAGGACAGGAGUUUUGAGUAAAAAAAAAGGCAGGAUGAGACACUUGCAAUAAAAAAAAGUCAGGACUACAAUUUAGGUAAUAAAAAGUCAGGAUAAACUAAAAAAAAAAGCAGGACCGAACAGAGUGAAAAAUAAAAAGGCAGGACAGAGAUUACAGCUAAAAAAAAAUGCAGGACAAAAUUUUUCCUCCUAGCCCCCCCAUAAAAAUCAAAUGGUAGCUCCCUAAUGAAACAGAGGAAAC